rnacentral:rRNA from 1 species
ACUCCUACGGGAGGCAGCAGUGGGGAAUAUUGCACAAUGGGCGCAAGCCUGAUGCAGCCAUGCCGCGUGUAUGAAGAAGGCCUUCGGGUUGUAAAGUACUUUCAGCAGUGAGGAAGGUGGAUGCGUUAAUAGCGUAUUCCAUUUGACGUUAGCUGCAGAAGAAGCACCGGCUAACUCCGUGCCAGCAGCCGCGGUAAUACGGAGGAUCCAAGCGUUAUCCGGAAUCAUUGGGUUUAAAGGGUCCGUAGGCGGUUUUAUAAGUCAGUGGUGAAAUCCGGCAGCUCAACUGUCGAACUGCCAUUGAUACUGUAGAACUUGAAUUAUUGUGAAGUAACUAGAAUAUGUAGUGUAGCGGUGAAAUGCUUAGAGAUUACAUGGAAUACCCAAUUGCGAAGGCAGGUUACUAACAAUAUAUUGACGCUGAUGGACGAAAGCGUGGGUAGCGAACAGGAUUAGAUACCCUGGUAGGAUAGCGU